rnacentral:rRNA from 1 species
CCUACGGGGGGCAGCAGUAAGGAAUAUUGGUCAAUGGACGCAAGUCUGAACCAGCCAUGCCGCGUGGAGGAUGAAGGUCCUCUGGAUUGUAAACUUCUUUUAUUUGGGAAGAAACUCCCGAUUUCCAUCGGGAUUGACGGUACCAGAUGAAUCAGCACCGGCUAACUCCGUGCCAGCAGCCGCGGUCAUACGGAGGGUGCCGGAGUUAUCGGGAUUCACGGGGGUGUAGGGGGGCAGGUAAGGGCAGGGUGAAAUCUCCGGGCUUAACCCGGAAACUGCCAUUGAUACUAUGUGUCUUGAAUACUCUGGAGGUGAGCGGAAUAUGUCAUGUAGCGGUGAAAUGCUUAGAUAUGACAUAGAACACCCAUUGCGAAGGCAGCUCACUACGGAAAUAUUGACGCUGAGGCACGAAAGCGUGGGGAUCAAACAGGAUUAGAUACCCCGGUAGUC